GAUGAAGAACGUAGUGAAAUGCGAUACUUGGUGUGAAUUGCAGAAUCCCGUGAACCAUCGAGUCUUUGAACGCAAGUUGCGCCCGAAGCCGUCAGGCCGAGGGCACGCCUGCCUGGGCGUCACACGCCGUUGCCCGCCCGCGCCCCGCACCCAACUCUUUGGGAGCGACCGCGGGGCGGGCUGAUGAUGGCCUCCCGUGCGCUCCGCCGCGCGGUUGGCCCAAAUACCGAGUCCCCGGCGACGUGCGCCACGACGAUCGGUGGUUGAGAGACCUCUGUCGCAAGUCGUGCGCGCCCGUCGCGUAACGCGGGCUCGCAUAGCGCCUCGCGCCGCACCCGGUGCGGAGCUUUCAACGCGACCCCAGGUCAGGCGGGGUUACCCGCUGAAUUUAAGCAUAUCAAUAAGCGGAGGA
rnacentral:misc_RNA from 1 species